UACGGAGGGUGCGAGCGUUGUCCGGAAUCACUGGGCGUAAAGGGCGCGUAGGCGGCUUGAUAAGCGUGCGGUGAAAGCCCGGGGCUCAACCCCGGGUCGGCCGUGCGAACUGUCGAGCUGGAGCACUGUAGAGGCAGGUGGAAUUCCGGGUGUAGCGGUGGAAUGCGUAGAGAUCCGGAAGAACACCGGUGGCGAAGGCGGCCUGCUGGGCAGUGGCUGACGCUGAGGCGCGACAGCGUGGGGGAGCAAACAGG
rnacentral:rRNA from 1 species